UACGGAGGAUGCGAGCGUUAUCCGGCUUUAUUGGGUUUAAAGGGCGCGCAGGCGGAUUUUUAAGUCAGCGGUAAAAUUGCGGGGCUCAACCCCGUCGAGCCGUUGAAACUGGCAGACUUGAGUUGGCGAGAAGUACGCGGAAUGCGCGGUGUAGCGGUGAAAUGCAUAGAUAUCACGCAGAACCCCGAUUGCGAAGGCAGCAUACCGGCGCCCGACUGACGCUGAGGCACGAAAGCGUGGGUAUCGAACAGG
rnacentral:rRNA from 1 species